AUGAUAUAUUCUCCUUUCAUUUUGGCCGCAGGACCAAGUGCAGAGUGGACUCCUUCUGGAUGUUGUAGUCGGACAGGGUGCACCCAUCUUCUAGCUGUUUGCCGGCAAAGAUCAACCUCUGCUGGUCAGGGGGGAUGCCCUCUUUUUCUUGGAUCUUCCCUUUGACAUUCUCGAUGGUGUCACUGGGCUCCACCGUCCAGGGUGAUGGUCUUACCAGUCAAGGUCUUCACGAAGAUCUGCAUGCCCCCCUGAGGUGAAGGACCAGGUGCAGAGUGGACUCCUUCUGGAUGUUGUAGUCGGACAGGACGGAUGCUUCCAAUUCAAAUUCAGUUACUCCGAUUGUAAUAUCCUGGUUCUCCGGGCUCCUGGGUGGCUCAGUCAGUUAAACACCUGCCUUCGGUUUGGGUCGUAAUUCCCAAAUCCUGGAAUCCAGCCUCCAGUAGGGCUUACCACUCAGUGGGGAGCCUGCUUCUCCCUCUGUCUCUGCCUACCUACCACUCCCCUCUCCUUGUGCUCUCUCUGUCAAAUAAAUAAAUAAAUAAAUAAUAAUAAAUAAAUAAAUAAAGUCUUUAAAAAAUAAAAACAACAACAAAAUAAAAGCCUGGUUCCCAACUCAAACCAUCAUACUUACUCAUUUGCUUUAUCCAAAAUAUAGACAAUAGUUUCAGAAUAAUAAUUGCA
rnacentral:lncRNA from 1 species